rnacentral:rRNA from 1 species
AUUGAACGCUGGCGGCAGGCCUAACACAUGCAAGUCGAGUGAGCGGCGGACGGGUGAGUAAUGUCUGGGAAACUGCCUGAUGGAGGGGGAUAACUACUGGAAACGGUAGCUAAUACCGCAUACAAUCAGACGUGCCCAGAUGGGAUUAGCUGGUAGGUGGGGUAACGGCCCACCAAGGCGAGGAUCAGUAGCCGGUCUGAGAGGAUGAACGGCCACAUUGGGACUGAUACACGGCCCAGACUCCUACGGGAGGCAGCAGUGGGGAAUAUUGCACAAUGGGCGCAAGCCUGAUGCAGCCAUGCCGCGUGUAUGAAGAAGGCCUUCGGGUUGUAAAGUACUUUCAGCGGGGAGGCGUUAACCGCAGAACAAGCGCCGGCUAACUCCGUGCCAGCCACCGCGGUAGUAC